GCCCGGUUAGCUCAAUCGGUAGAGCGUGAGACUCUUAAUCUCAAGGUUGCGGGUGAGUAGAUCUCGGAAUACAACUUGUCCGAAAACCAAUUCUAACCCGUCCGUCAUAGGUUCGACCCCCGCAUCGGGCU
rnacentral:tRNA from 1 species